UGAUUAUGCUGUUGCAGUAGGGCGUAGA
rnacentral:piRNA from 1 species